AGCUCCAAUAGCGAAUAUUAAUGUUGUUGCAGUUAAAAAGCUCGUAGUCGAAUUUCUGGCCGGACAACGACGAUAUACCGAUCUGCGUCUAGGUCAUCCUCCCAUGAAAGCAUGUGGACCUUCACUGGCUCCCGUGUUGAAUUGGGAACUUUACUUUGAGAAAAUUAGAGUGUUUCAGGCAGGCUUUCGCUUGAAUACUACAGCAUGGAAUAAUGGAAUAUGUCUCAAAUUACUUCUUGGUUCGUUAUUUGAGAAAUGAUUAAUAGGAACAGUUGGGGGCAUUUGUACUUGCCAGUCAGAGGUGAAAUUCUUCGAUUUGGCAAAGACAAACUAAUGCGAAGGCAUCUGCCAAGGAUGUUUUCAUUG
rnacentral:rRNA from 1 species